AUGAACGCUGGCGGCGUGCCUAAUACAUGCAAGUCGAGCGAACGGACGAGAAGCUUGCUUCUCUUAUGUUAGCGGCGGACGGGUGAGUAACCCGUUGAUAACCUACCUAUAAGACUGGGAUAACUUCGGUAAACCGGAGCUAAUACCGGAUGAUAUUUUGAACCGCAUGGUUCAAAAGUGAAAGACGGUCUUGCUGUCACUUAUAGAUUGAUCCGCGCUUCAUUAGCUAGUUGGUAAGGUAACGGCUUACCAAGGAAACGAUGCAUAGCCGACCUGAGAGGGUGAUCGGACAAACUGGAACUGAGACACGGUCCAGACUACUACGGGAGGCAGCAGUAGGGAAUCUUCCGCAAUGGGCGAAAGCCUGACGGAGCAACGCCGCGUGAGUGAUGAAGGUCUUCGGAUCGUAAAACUCUGUUAUUAGGGAAGAACAUAUGUGUAAGUAACUGUGCACAUCUUGACGGUACCUAAUCAGAAAGCCACGGCUAACUACGUG
rnacentral:rRNA from 1 species